UGUAGGAGCGAGCCUGCUCGCGAUGGCGGUGUGUCAGCCAACAUAGGUAUUGAAUGUUGGACCGUUAUCGCGAGCAGGCUCGCUCCUACA
rnacentral:antisense_RNA from 1 species